rnacentral:lncRNA from 1 species
AUCCCCUUCCGCACUGUGGAAGCUUUGUUCUUUCGCUCUUUGCAAUAAAUCUUGCUACUGCUCACCCUUUGGGUCCACACUGCCUUUAUGAGCUGUAACACUCACUGCGAAGGUCUGCAGCUUCACUCCUGAAGCCAGCCAGACCACGAGCCCACCGGGAGGAACGAACAAUUCCAGACUUGCCGCCUUAAGAGCUGUAACGCUCACCGCGAAGGUCUGCAGCUUCACUCCUGAAGCCAGCCAGACCACGAGCCCACCGGGAGGAACGAACAACUCCAGACGCGCCGCCUUAAGAGCUGUAACACUCACCGGGAAGGUCUGCAGCUUCACUCCUGAGCCAGCGAGACCACGAACCCACCAGAAGGAAGAAACUCUGAACACAUCUGAACGUCAGAAGGAGCAAACUCCAGACGUGCCACCUUAAGAGCUGUAACACUCACUGCGAGGGUCCGCAGCUUCAUUCUUGAAGUCAGUGAGACCAAGUUCCGGACACAUUCUCAGGGCCAAAAUGGCUGACUAGAAGCAGCUACAGUGUGUAGCUCUCAGGGAGAGGAAGGAAAGGGAAGAGUAAAUACAGCACCUUCAACUGAAAUAUCCAGGUAUUCACAUUGGGACUGACCAGGGAAACAGCUGGACCCACAGAGAACGAAGAAAAGCAGGGCAGGGUGAUGGCCUGCACGAGAGUGACACGGAGCCAAGGGAACCUCCCCCUCCCAGGGAAGUGCCUUCACUGGUGAUACGCCAGGUACUGGAAAAUCUGUGGUGACUAGGGACUGGAGCAGACGCCCAGCAAACUUCAGCAACCUUAUGGAAAAGUGGCCCAACUGUUAAAGAAAAACCAAAACCAC